GGACUACCAGGGUUUCUAAUCCUGUUUGCUCCCCACGCUUUCGCGUCUUAGCGUCAGAAACCGUCCAGAUAGCCGCCUUCGCCACUGGUGUUCUUCCCAAUCUCUACGUAUUUCACCACUACACUGGGAAUUCCACUAUCCUCUCCGGUCCUCUAGUCACCAAGUAUCGAGUGCAAUUCUUGAGUUGAGCUCAAGGCUUUCACACCCGACUUUGGCAACCGCCUACACGCGCUUUACGCCCAGUAAUUCCGAACAACGCUAGCCCCCUUCGUCUUACCGCGGCUGCUGGCAC
rnacentral:rRNA from 1 species